rnacentral:lncRNA from 1 species
CACAUGUACAUUAAACUGAUAUUGAGCUGGUGAACGAUACUUGUUCAGUCAUUCAUUCAUUGCUUGCCUAAUUAAUAUUUAUGAAAAGUUAUUAUAAGAGUCAUUUCAAAAAAUAUUUAGAAGGGUAAAAGAAUCCUUUAAAUUUGUUUUGACCAUAAGAUCUAAUUUAAUUCCCUGCCAAAACAUUUUACUGUUUCAUCAACACAGCCGAAAAGCUGAAACAAAUGCACCACCUAUAAAACUGAAUUUUAGGCUACAACUGCAUGAAAUAACCUCAUUAAGCCCUUGAUGGAUUGACAGGCAUCAUUCUAUGAAAAGAACAAAGAGGCACAUUGAAGACUACCCCAUUGUUGUAUCUGAACAUGUUCAGGUUUGUGUUAAAGGUAAAGUGGUUCAUAAUAACAUAUACACACUGUCUUAUAAAGUAGGUAAUUGACAAGAAUCUACUGUAUAGCACAGGGAAAUAUAUUUAAUACUUUAUGACAACCUACAAUGGAAAAUGAGUGGAUAUACCUAGAUAUGUAACUGAUUCUUUUUGCCGUAUACCUGAAACUAACACAACAUUGUAAGUCAACUACACUAAUAAAAAUUUUUAAAAAGGUAUAGUGGUUCAUGAGUCUCAAUAUGAAGAUAAAGAGACUGUGGAGAAAUCCAUUUCUAGCAGUAUGGUAGUUAAUAACUCAACUAAUUCUCUCUCUAAAAAUAACAAAAAAAGACUAGAGAAUUUAUCAAAGCUUCUUUUAAGCUUUCAAAUGGAUAAUAAAAAUGAUAAAUAUUCAGAGGCCAAAAAUGAAAUGGAAACAGGAAUUUAGAGUAAUGAGCAAAUCACUGAGGUCAAUUUUUGUUCUGAAGCCUGUCAAAAUUAGUGAACUUGAUCUUCAUUCAUCAUGACCUCCUGAGGCACCAGGGACACAAAAUUAAGCCAGGGCCCCUUCAAGUCAGAGAAUACCACAGAAGACUCCAUCCAUGAAGCUGACUGUCCAAAAGCUAUGACCUCAGAGAAAGGGUGAAGUUGGAAUAGACCCAAAUCUUCCUCAUCCCGAAGAGAGCAAGAAAACAUUACCUGUUGUAUUUCAGUGCUGAGCGGCAGGAGAGAAAUAUUUCCCUCAAAGUUCUUAACUACAACUCAAUCUUCAUGAGUUUUACAGCCCAAAUUCACCUGUAUUAUCUGAAUGGUCUGAAGAAACCUCGGAAGAGAAUUUAAUGUAACGUGCCUAGAAGUUAUUAGUAGUUGGAAGUUAGAGUGUUGACUGUUGCCAAAAGUGCCUGGAAAAAAUGCAAAGAGCCUCAGAUAAAGUAGUAAGACAACUGAGUGCACACAAAACGUACCAGAAAACAGCAAAUGGAAAAACCGGACCAAAACAGAUCAGAUGUUGGUAUUAUCAAACACAUAUAAACAUAAAAUGUAAGCUAACUUUAUUUUAUACAAAGAAAUGAGAUGCAAAUAAAAGAGUGGAAUGAUUAAAACAUAAAUUGAUUAGAAAUUAUCAUGCUAAGUGAAGUCAGUCAGACAAUGAAACACCAACAUCAAAUGCUAUCACCGACAUGUGGAAUCUGAAAAAAGGACACAACGAACUUCUUUGCAGAACAUAUACUGACUCAAGGACUUUGAAGAACUUAUGGUUUCCAAAGGAAACAGUUUGGGGGGUGGGGGAUGGAAAUCCUAUAAAAUUGUAUUGUGAUGAUCACUGUACAACUAUAAAUGUCAUAAAUUAAUUGAGUAAUAAAAAAACAUAACUGAUUAGAAACCAUAGUAAAAAUAAUUGAUUCAGGCAAGAACUAUCAAUGGAUGCUAGAACUACUGAAGUUUGAUAAAGCACAGAAUAUUGACCUAAUCUAAAAGUUUCUCUCUACUGAUUGCUUAUUGAUUGCUAAGGGAAAAAUUAAAGUUUUACAGUAGAGUAACCUGGCGGACACCACCUUAACCAGGUGAUUAAAAUUAAUAGUCAAUAAUGAGAGAAACUGACAUUCUGAUAAUGAGGGGCUAAAAAGGGAACAAUAUAACUAGGACCGCAUUCUAUUAAAAGUUCAACUGGACCCAUGUUGAGGGACAUUGCACAAAAGAACUGGCAAGUGCUCUUCAAAAAUGUUAUUAUCAUUAAAGACAAAAGAACUGAGGCAGUGUUCCAGAUUAAAGGAAAACUGAGAAAUAUAACAACUACAUGUGGUGUGCAACCCAAACUGGAUCUGGAGUCAGGAAAAGAAUGCUGAUAAAAAAGGAAUUAUUGGGAUAAUGGUUGAAAUUUGAAUAAGGUCUGUAUAGUAAAUAACAGCACCAUAUCAAUAAAAAAUGUCAUGACCAUGAUAAUUAUAUACACUGAAGUAUUUAGAGGAACUGUCAUAAGAGCAUAUGAGCAUUACUCUCAAAUGACCCAAAAUAGAAUAUAUAUAUUGAAGAAGAAAAUAAAGUGAGGAAUGUCAUAACAGAUAAUAAUUAUUUUGAAUCUACAGCAGUUAAUACACCAUGCUAGUAGCAGAAGAGAAAAACAGACCAAUGGUACAGAAUAAAGGGCCCCCAAAAAGACCAUAACAUACAUGAAAUACAGAUGUCUGACAAAGAUGAUACUGUCAGUGAGUAUGAAAAGGAUAUCUUUCCACUAAAUGGCUCUAAAAUAAUUGGUAACCACAGGAAGGAAAGGAAAUUGGACAUUCACAAUAUGAAAAAUCAGUUCCAGGGUAUUAAAUAUCUAAAUUUGGUUGGGAUAGAGGGAGGCAAAACUAUAAGCUUUUAUAAAAAGAAUAAAAGAAUUACCUAUUUGUAAUAAGGAAGGAUUUCUUAUAUGAGGCAAAAAGCUCAAACUAUAAAGGAUAUAUAUAUUUAAUUGCAUUACAGUUAUGAUCGUCUAUUCAUAGAACAUUCUGACAGAAAAAAAUGAACAAGCAAGCCAUGAAAAAGUGAAAAUUAAUUCAAUACAUUAAGAAAUAUCAAAAAUCAAUGAGAGAAAACCAAAAAUUCAUUAGAAAAUGGUUCCAGAUUUAGACAGGCAAUUCUCCAAAGAGGAAACCUGAAGGACUAGAAAGUUAUAAGUACACUCAAGUUGAUUAGAAAUCAAAGAAUACAAAAUAAAACACCAUGGCAAACUUACCAGACUAACAAAAAUAUAUUCUGAAAUAUUAAAGAGUUAAAAGGAUAUGGAGCAAUUGGAACUCUAAUACAUAGCUGCCAUUAGUUAAUAUCAUUUCAAAAAAUAAUUUGGCAUUUACCUGGUGAGGUGCAUAUUUAUGACUCUCCAAUUAUACUCAGUCUAAGGAAUAUGAACAGGAAUAGUUAUACCACUGUUUAAAACGAUAAAAACUAGUAACAUAAAAAAAAACAUCAAAAGUAGAAUGAUAAAUAAUGCGACAUUCAUACAAGAGAACACUACCCUUAUACACAAUGGAACAGCUACAACUUAAAAGGAACAAACUACAGUAAAAGCCCUGUUGCAAGAAUAAAUCCAAGAAUAAAAUGUUAGGGAAAAAUUUGAAAAGCACUGAAGAGAAGCAAAAAUUCGGUUUGAUUCUUCUUAUGCAGAGUUUGAAAACAUGGAAAAGUAAAUAAUUUAUUUUGUAAGAAGGAAGAGAAGAAUAGAGAAUUGGGGCAGAGAAAAAAGGAGCUUUCAAUAUCACUGUUAAUUUUCCAUUUGUCAAAUUAAGUGGUGAGAGCAUUGUUUGUAUUUGUAUAAACUAAACACUGUAUUUGUAACACUAAACACAUUUUUAAAUAGUCUUCUACCUAAUUAAUUAAUUAUAAAAGAGAAAGAAGGUCUUGUGUUUCUUAUGAACAGUCUAAGUUAGAAAAAGCAGGUUAGGCUUUCUAUACUGAGAUUCUUGACCAGGAUACCUAUGCUCUUCCAGAGUGUUACUUAUUUUCCUUUGUAAUCUUUCCCUAGCAGAUCCUCAAAGCCAGAAACAACAACAAAAAAGCUUAAAUCCAAGCCAUAACAUAUGCUCAUUUAAAUAAAGUUAAAAUUGUAUUUAAAUUAUGAAAAGAACAAGAAGGUAAGAGGCAUGACCUUGAAUGAGCCACUUAGAUUUGGCACUCAUCUAGAAGAUCUGAUUGGAUCUGGAGAUAAACAGGCUUAUGUAAAUGCAAGACGGCAUAUUGUUUUGGAUUAUUCAUUAUAAAGAAAUGUAUAAUCUUCCAAAUGUGUAGUAUAUUUGAUGUGAAUGUUUGUUUUGGCACUUCAAUAAGAAUUUCAACUGAGGGCUGCAUUUUUUAUAGGUCUCCUCUCCUAGAAUACUCAUGCUCUUUCUUUGUAUCUUAUCUGUGAUUUUCACUUAGGAUCAUUUCUCUUCCUAAAAAAGUAAGAUCACCUUCAAUCAUCCUCUCUAUGGACAAUUUCUAUAUCCAAGACUGAGAAACUUGCAUUCUUUUAUUCUCUCAAUAGGUUCUAAAGUCCCAGAUUUUCCAACCUUCCACUCAGUUAAUGCAAAAAUAGCUGGUGUUCUCUGAUUGGUUCCCUCUGUGAAUAUAUCAGUCUUCAUUCACUGCCUCUGACACGAUAUUUCAAACAUUUCUAUGAAUAUGUUUAAUGCAAUAAAAAUUUAAUUUAUAUUUUCAUUUCAGGCCUGAUAGUCACACCAUGUGCAAUAUGUAAUGAUUUCAGCAAAGCCUUAACAGAGAUUCCCAUGAUAAGGUUGAGGACAGACUGAAACAAAGGGAUGCAGAAAUAUCUGUUACUUGUUGAUUAAUAUGGUACCUUAUAUAUACUUCUUCACCUAAAGAUUGGGACCACUCUGAGGAUAGUAAGCAUGUUUAUUCAUCAUGAUACCUUAAAAUCCCAAAUACUCAAUAAAUUUUGGAGAAUGGAAAAAUGAAUAUUCAAUUAUAAAAUCUUUAUGUUAGAUACCUUCUAUUUAUUGCUGCCAAGAACUUGUUUGUCCUGCUAAUAAUGUCAUUCUAGUGUCAUGGGAAACUAUCUCUUGCACACUGCUGUGCCUGUGGUUUGAGCUGCAGCUAUCUCAAACCUCUCAGCUCCUGAUGUAGACAUAUAAAAUGGCCUGGUCCCUUAGCUCCAGCCAAAACAGUAACUUAUUCAGGGAUGGGCACAAGACACAGUCCAAGACAAUGAGACUCAAAUCUAGGAUAGGUGGAACUGUUAGAAAGCAGAAGCACUCUUGGAGUUCCCGUCAUCGCUUAGUGGUUAACGAGUCCAACUAGGAACCAUGAGGUUGCAGGUUCGAUCCCUGGCCUUGCUCAGUGGGUUAACGAUCCAGCUUUGCCAUGAGCUGUGAUGUAGGUUGCAGACGCAGCUCAGACCCCGCAUUGCUGUGGAUCUGGCAUAGGCCAGUGGCUACAGCUCCAAUUUGACCCCUAGCCUGGGAACCUCCAU